UACGGAGGGAGCUAGCGUUGUUCGGAAUUACUGGGCGUAAAGCGCGCGUAGGCGGCUUUGUAAGUUAGAGGUGAAAGCCCGGGGCUCAACUCCGGAACUGCCUUUAAGACUGCAUCGCUUGAAUCCGGGAGAGGUGAGUGGAAUUCCGAGUGUAGAGGUGAAAUUCGUAGAUAUUCGGAAGAACACCAGUGGCGAAGGCGGCUCACUGGACCGGUAAUUGACGCUGAGGUGCGAAAGCGUGGGGAGCAAACAGG
rnacentral:rRNA from 1 species